rnacentral:rRNA from 1 species
GAAGAAGGUGCGGAGUUGCACGUUGUCAUUUAUAAACUAAUUGUUAGAGUUCUUCGAUUUGUCGCAAAGCUUGACGAUGGCAGCGAGCAUCAAGUUUCCCAGCAUGAUGUGGAGUUUGAGGUUAACAUGAAAUGUUUUACUGUUGAAAAACUGAUAGAACUCAUUGGGUCCAAAGUUGUUUGGGGGAGUGGGCAGGAGGUCCAUAUUUUGUGCAAGGACAAGCAUUUUGAAUCAGUUGAGAGGAUUGAUAACUACUGGAAAUUGCUCACAUCAUUUCUUGAGAGAUGGGAAGAGCAGCUGCAAACUGAUGGAGCAGCCGCAUGUACAGCCAGAACUUCUCCAACCAGCCAGUACUGCAACGAGCAGCUACGUAUAGACGGCGGACGCGCUGCACUGGUACGGGCGACAAGUGGGAGAGGAGGAACGGCAAGGUGGUGGUGCGGGAAAGGAGGCACGGCGAGCCGGCGGCUCGCCGGGGACCUCGCACGGCAAGGCGGCGGCGCCGGGAGUGGGCACAACGAGGCGGCGCCGUGCUUCGUUCUGUGA